rnacentral:tRNA from 1 species
CAGUGUAAUAGUUUAAUUUUAAGAAUGUAAGCUUUGGGGGUUUAUGGUCUCUU